rnacentral:rRNA from 1 species
AUGACCGAUGAAGAAAGGCAGGACAAACUCAAAAAACGCCGUGAGGCCUAUCAUCAAAAGAAAGAUUCAGGGAAGACAGCAGAACAGAAGGCAGCACAUUGCACACAUGAAAAACAAAAAUAUGCAAACUUGCAGCCAGUUCAAAAGAAAGCAAGAGUAGAACAAAGAAAAGCUCGCCGUCAAAUGGAACGGAGCACACCAUGCAAAGAUUCACUUGCAAUGGAAAACCCUGAGUAUGUCGCAACCGAACAAGAGGUUAGUACUUCUACGUUGGCUGUAAAACACAGGGAUCAUGUGGCAGCAGGAAAAAGGCAAACAUUGCUACACCAUCGUAACGAACAAUUCAUGAGAAAACGGAGGCAAACUGGUUCCGUAUCAUCAAAAGAAGAUGCAUCCAUGACGAAAAACACCGACGAAAACAAAGAACCUCUGGAGCAACCACAAGUCAUGACUUACGGUAAUAAUCUCAAGUUUAUAUAA